rnacentral:rRNA from 1 species
UACGUAGGGUGCGAGCGUUGUCCGGAAUUACUGGGCGUAAAGAGCUCGUAGGCGGCUUGUCGCGUCGGCUGUGAAAACCUGGGGCUCAACCCCGGGCCUGCAGCCGAUACGGGCAAGCUAGAAUUCGGUAGGGGAGACUGGAAUUCAUGGUGUAGCAGUGAAAUGCGUAGAGAUCAUGAGGAAGACCAGUGGCGAAGGCGGGUCUCUGGACAGUUCCUGACACUGAGACACGAAGGCCAGGGGAGCAAACGGG